rnacentral:miRNA from 1 species
CUGAUUGCUGCUGUGUAUGUCUCAGUGAACAGAGCUAGGAAAUAUAUGUAUGUAUAUACAUACACACAUACACACACAAACACAUAUCCACCUAUACA